GCUGGACCUCUCACCCAUCCCCUGACUCUGGGAGGAAAAUGUUUAGCUGGGAAGGCAGGGUCACCACGCACUCCAGGGGCAUUACUCAGCCGGGAAACAGCCCCGCUUCCUGUUGGCAUAUUUUCCUUUGGUUUUAGUCUCAAGUCUUAUUCUGCGGGGGGAAGACCUCCUAGAAUUCUAUUUUCUUGGGGGAAUGGAAAGAAAAGCAGCCUGAUGAAUGUGGGCUCACUUAGAAACCUCAGAUCUCAGACCAAUAAGGGCUUCCAGAUGCCUCAGCAGAGGGCAGCAUGAACUUCUGUGACGCGGACUUUGUCAUUCGUUUCGUCUCCUUGCACAUGUACCAGGGGCACCGACUUCAUGCCAGCUCCAUGCUAUACAUGGAGUCAGAGAUGGAAAGGAGCGCCACAGCCCGAGAGACUCAGCCCAAGGAAAAGACGGACAGGAAAAUGAAUGAGAGCAAUUGGCUUCUGUGGAUGCUGAGAUGGAGAUGGUGCUGGAGGCGAUGGGCUCUGUUCCCUCUGUGGCCACAGUGAUGCUGGUGGGGCUGUUCAGGGGUACCCAGCAGACAGGGGCCUGAUCAAUGAACAAACAUGCUGGGAAGGAAGAUCCACAAGAUUUCACGUCAAAAGGAGCCAAUUAGUAUUCAUUGACUGCUUUUUGUGCACCAGGAUCUUUGCAGCGACAAUCUCACGUUACCCUCACUUGACUCCUGCGAGGGCAACAUUGGUGUACUCAUCUGACAAUUAUGUCACUUAGUCAGGGUCCCACAGCUAACCUUUGGCAGAACCAGGACUCAAACUCAGGUCUCUCC
ensembl:lncRNA